GAAAUGCGAUAAGUAAUGUGAAUUGCAGAAUUCAGUGAAUCAUCGAAUCUUUGAACGCACAUUGCACCCGGUGGUAUUCUGCCGGGUAUGCCUGUUCGAGCGUCAUUUCUGCACUCAGGCCAUGCUGCUUAGGCAGCAAUGGUGCUGGUGUUGGGACUUACAGCGCUGGUUUUCGGUGCUGUAGCCCCUAAUUUCAUCGGCGUACGCGUGUACGUUGCCCCCUGCGUAGUGGUUCUUUCUCGCAUCGGGCCGUGCCGCUGUGCUGCCGCAACGACAUCAAACAAGUUUGACCUCGAAUCAGGUAGGGUUACCCGCUGAACUUAA
rnacentral:misc_RNA from 1 species